UACGUAGGGUGCAAGCGUUGUCCGGAAUUAUUGGGCGUAAAGAGCUCGUAGGCGGUCUGUCGCGUCGGCUGUGAAAACUCGGGGCUCAACCCCGAGCCUGCAGUCGAUACGGGCAGACUAGAGUGCGGUAGGGGAGACUGGAAUUCCUGGUGUAGCGGUGAAAUGCGUAGAUAUUGGGAAGAACACCUGAGGCGAAGGCGGGUUGCUGGGCUGACACUGACGCUGAGGCGCGAAAGCCAGGGGAGCGAACGGG
rnacentral:rRNA from 1 species